rnacentral:rRNA from 1 species
GACGAACGCUGGCGGCGUGCUUAACACAUGCAAGUCGAACGGAAAGGCCUCUUUCGGGGGGUACUCGAGUGGCGAACGGGUGAGUAACACGUGAGUAACCUGCCCUUGACUUUGGGAUAACUUCAGGAAACUGGGGCUAAUACCGGAUAGGAGCUCCUGCUGCAUGGUGGGGGUUGGAAAGUUUCGGCGGUUGGGGAUGGACUCGCGGCUUAUCAGCUUGUUGGUGGGGUAGUGGCUUACCAAGGCUUUGACGGGUAGCCGGCCUGAGAGGGUGACCAGCCACAUUGGGACUGAGAUACGGCCCAGACUCCUACGGGAGGCAGCAGUGGGGAAUAUUGCACAAGGGGUGGAAGCCUGAUGCAGCAACGCCGUGUGCGGGAUGACGGCCUUCGGGUUGUAAACCGCUUUCGCUCAUGACGAAGCUUUGUGUGACGGUAGUGGGUAAAGAAGCACCGGCUAACUACGUG